GCCGGGGGCGUGUCCUGGGCGGGGCCGUGCCCCGCCCCGCCCGGUCGCGGAGCAGUGGCCAGCGCAGGGAGGGCCCGGCCCCGGGAUGCCACACGCAACUCAACUGUACCAGCAUGUGCCGGAGACACGCUGGCCCAUCGUGUAUUCACCACGCUACAACAUAACCUUCAUGGGCCUGGAGAAACUGCACCCCUUUGACGCGGGAAAAUGGGGCAAAGUGAUCAGCUUCCUAAAAGAAGAGAAGCUUCUAUCAGAUGGCAUGCUGGUGGAGGCGCGGGAGGCUUCGGAUGAGGACCUGCUGGUGGUGCACACAAGACGCUAUCUCAACGAG